AUGUGUAUGAUACCUAGGCCCCUAGGGGGGAGAUUACUAAAAUCUCCUUCUGGUGGAGAUGGGUGGAUUGUUAGUGUAGAUGAUUUAGAAGAUAUAAUUGGUGGGCAUGUAUGGUUGGGUUUUAUUUGUGUAUUUGGCGGAAUUUGGCAUAUUUUAACCAAACUCUUCGCAUGGGAUCGCCGUGCAUUUGUAUGGUCUAUAGAAGCUUACUUGUCUUAUAGUCUAGCUGCUUUAUCUGUCUUUGGUUUUAUCGCUUGUUGUUUUGUAUGGUUCAACAAUACAACUUAUUCGAGUUAG
rnacentral:rRNA from 1 species